AAAGGUAGAAGGGACUUACUCUUCGGAGUGAGAGCGUACACAGGUGCUGCAUGGCUGUCGUCAGCUCGUGUCGUGAGAUGUUGGGUUAAGUCCCGCAACGAGCGCAACCCUGCAUUCAGUUGCCAUCGGUAAGGCCGGGCACUCUGGAUGGACUGCCGGCGACAAGCCGGAGGAAGGUGGGGACGACGUCAAGUCAUCAUGGCCCUUAUGUCCAGGGCGACACACGUGCUACAAUGGCCGGCACAACGGGAAGCGAAGGGGCGACCCUGAGCGGAUCCCACAAAAGCCGGUCUCAGUUCGGAUUGCAGUCUGCAACUCGACUGCAUGAAGUUGGAAUCGCUAGUAAUCGUGGAUCAGCCAAGCCGCGGUGAAUACGUUCCCGGGCCUU
rnacentral:rRNA from 1 species